rnacentral:rRNA from 1 species
GAUGACGCUGGCGGCGUGCCUAAUACAUGCAAGUCGAGCGAGCGGCGGACGGGUGAGUAACACGUGAUAACCUACCUAUAAGACUGGGAUAACUACUGGAAACGGUAGCUAAUACCGCAUACCAUCAGAUGUGCCCAGAUGGUAUUAGGUAGUAGGUGGGGUAAUGGCUCACCUAGGCGACGAUCCCUAGCUGUUUGGAGAGGAGGACCAGCCCCACGGGAACUGGGACACGGUCCAGACUCCUCCGGGAGGCAGCAGUGGGGAAUAUUGGACAAGGGGCGCAAGCCUGAUGCAGCCAUGCCGCGUGGUUGAAGAAGGCCUUCGGGUUGUAAAGCACUUUCAUCGAGAAGGCGUUACUCGCAGAAGAAGCACCGGCUAACUCCGUGCCAGCAGCCGCGGUAAUUC